rnacentral:rRNA from 1 species
UACGUAGGGUGCAAGCGUUGUCCGGAAUUAUUGGGCGUAAAGAGCUCGUAGGCGGUCUGUCGCGUCGGCUGUGAAAACCUGGGGCUUAACCCCGGGCCUGCAGCCGAUACGGGCAGACUAGAGUUCGGCAGGGGAGACUGGAAUUCCUGGUGUAGCGGUGAAAUGCGCAGAUAUCAGGAGGAACACCGGUGGCGAAGGCGGGUCUCUGGGCCGAAACUGACGCUGAGGAGCGAAAGCGUGGGGAGCAAACAGG